UCCCCCAGUCCUCCCAGUUCUCCCAGUAGAUCUGUGAUGCACAGUCCAAUCCACUAACCUGACUAGUUGUUUCCCCUUGGCGUUGGCGCUGCUUGGGGUCCUCGCCUUCUUUGCCAACAACACCAAACCCCUGCUGUGGAAGGAUGGCCCUAGUCAGGUACACGGCUCUGGCUGGAUUCGGCGCUCUGGCUGGUAGAGACAUCAAGAAGAUGUCCUGCGGUUUGCAGUAGCGAAUACACCAAAUAAUACAUAGAAGUACAGAUUAUAUAGAUAGAUAUAUGCUCUUUUAAAUAUUUACUAUGUGCACACACGGAUUUCAUGACGCAAAAUAAAACAAAA
rnacentral:sRNA from 1 species